ACACUCCUACGGGAGGCAGCAGUGGGGAAUAUUGGACAAUGGGCGCAAGCCUGAUCCAGCCAUGCCGCGUGAGUGAUGAAGGCCCUAGGGUUGUAAAGCUCUUUCACCGGUGAAGAUAAUGACGGUAACCGGAGAAGAAGCCCCGGCUAACUUCGUGCCAGCAGCCGCGGUAAUACGAAGGGGGCUAGCGUUGUUCGGAUUUACUGGGCGUAAAGCGCACGUAGGCGGACUAUUAAGUCAGGGGUGAAAUCCCGGGGCUCAACCCCGGAACUGCCUUUGAUACUGGUAGUCUUGAGUUCGAGAGAGGUGAGUGGAAUUCCGAGUGUAGAGGUGAAAUGCGUAGAUAUUCGGAGGAACACCAGUGGCGAAGGCGGCUCACUGGCUCGAUACUGACGCUGAGGUGCGAAAGCGUGGGGAGCAAACAGGAUUAGAAACCCUAGUAGUCCC
rnacentral:rRNA from 1 species